CACGUGUGCAACCAACCCCGUACCGGGAGAUAACCCGCGGAAACGUGGACUAACACCCCAUAAGACCUUUCCCCCGCAUGGGGGGGAGUUUAAAACCCCGGUGGUACGGGACGGGCACGCGCGACAUUAGGUAGUUGGCGGGGUAACGGCCCACCAAGCCGACGAUGUCUAGGGGUUCUGAGAGGAAGGUCCCCCACACUGGAACUGAGACACGGUCCAGACUCCUACGGGAGGCAGCAGUGAGGAAUAUUGGUCAAUGGGCGAGAGCCUGAACCAGCCAAGUCGCGUGAGGGAAGAAUGGUCUAUGGCCUGUAAACCUCUUUUGUCAAGGAAGAACAUGUAGUACGUGUACUACCCUGCCAGUACUUGACGAAUAAGCAUCGGCUAACUCCGUGCCAGCAGCCGCGGUAAUACGGGGGAUGCGAGCGUUAUCCGGAUUUAUUGGGUUUAAAGGGCGCGUAGGCGGGACGUCAAGUCAGCGGUAAAAGACUGCAGCUAAACUGUAGCACGCCGUUGAAACUGUCGACCUGGAGACGAGACGAGGGAGGCGGAACAAGUGAAGUAGCGGUGAAAUGCAUAGAUAUCACUUGGAACCCCGAUAGCGAAGGCAGCUUCCCAGGCUCGAUCUGACGCUGAUGCGCGAGAGCGUGGGUAGCGAACAGGAUUAGGUACCCUGGUAGUCCACGCCGUAAACGAUGCUCACUGGAUCUUGGCGAUACACGGCCAGGGUUCAAGCGAAAGUAUUAAGUGAGCCACCUGGGGAGUACGUCGGCAACGAUGAAACUCAAAGGAAUUGACGGGGGCCCGCACAAGCGGAGGAACAUGUGGUUUAAUUCGAUGAUACGCGAGGAACCUUACCCGGGUUUAAAUGCAGGUUGCAUGAGGUGGAAACACCUCUUUCCCUCGGGACUACCUGCAAGGUGCUGCAUGGUUGUCGUCAGCUCGUGCCGUGAGGUGUCGGGUUAAGUCCCAUAACGAGCGCAACCCCUAUCGCCAGUUGCCAUCGGUUUCGGCCGGGCACUCUGUCGAGACUGCCACCGUAAGGUGCGAGGAAGGCGGGGAUGACGUCAAAUCAGCACGGCCCUUACACCCGGGGCGACACACGUGUUACAAUGGCCGGUACAGAGGGCAGCCACGGGGCGACCCGGAGCGAAUCUCUAAAGCCGGUCGUAGUUCGGACUGGAGUCUGCAACCCGACUCCACGAAGUUGGAUUCGCUAGUAAUCGCGCAUCAGC
rnacentral:rRNA from 1 species